UACGAAGGGGGCUAGCGUUGCUCGGAAUCACUGGGCGUAAAGCGCACGUAGGCGGAUUGCUAAGUCAGGGGUGAAAUCCUGGAGCUCAACUCCAGAACUGCCUUUGAUACUGGCGAUCUUGAGUCCGGGAGAGGUGAGUGGAACUGCGAGUGUAGAGGUGAAAUUCGUAGAUAUUCGCAAGAACACCAGUGGCGAAGGCGGCUCACUGGUCCGGCACUGACGCUGAGGUGCGAAAGCGUGGGGAGCAAACAGG
rnacentral:rRNA from 1 species